ACCACUUUGUUAAAGUAAAUGGACUAUUAGUGCUCCAUGUGGAAGAAUAUGUAUGACUUUGAGUCUAAAGCCAAAGAUAAUGUAUGUUUUUGGGCUUUUUCUCAGUGUUAUGACUAAAAGUGCACCACUUUGUUAAAGUAAAUGGACUAUUAGUGCUCCAUGUGGAAGAAUAUGUAUGACUUUGAGUCUAAAGCCAAAGAUAAUGUAUGUUUUUGGGCUUUUUCUCAGUGUUAUGACUAAAAGUGCACCACUUUGUUAAAGUAAAUGUACUAUUAGUACUCCAUGUGAAAGAAUAUGUAUGAGUUUGAGUCUAAAGCCAAAGAUCAUGUAUGGUUUUGGGCUUUUCCUCACCGUAAAAUAAGCCAAGUUGAUUCGCAGUUUGCUUAAAGUAUUUGCUUUGAUACCUCAAUGUUAAUUAUUAUGUGUUGUAGAAGAAUUAAAAAGCUCAUUUUUCUUGGUAGAAAAGGGUUUUUCUUGUGGGCAUUUACAAGUGAAUUGGUAAUCGAGAAUUUGAAUGCCAUAUGAUUUUUUGUCUGAGUUAGAUAUCACGGAACAAUAUUGCUAUAUGGUAGAGAUAAUGAAAAGGUCAUCAAUCACACAAAUAGCAUAAAAAAACUUAGAAGAACAAACGGACCAAUAAUUUCAAGAUUUAACUAAUCCUCUUCGUUUGAGCCAUGGUAGCUUGUACAUCACUUUCAAAUUUCUUUGAUCCUGUUCACAAGUAAAUAGCAGCCACCGGAGAGUGUAACUUGCAUAAUGCUGUUAAUAUGAAAGGCCUCUAUGUGCAUGAAAUAUGAACCCAUUAAGUGAAAAUAGUUUUCUUCUAAAGUUAAUGAAAAAAAGUCAUAAAAACUUAUUAAAAAAAGGAGCAAAUUCCAUGUCGAGCCAACAAAUAGAUGGCUCAAGCUUAAAGUUUUAGUCAAACUUACCUUACAAAAAUUGAACCCUAAACUUGAUUUUGCAAAAUAAGAACAUACAGGAAGUUGUAGGUGGAAAAGUGGGGGAAAUUGAAUCUUUAUAAUAUCAAAUUUAGAUGCACCAAAAAUAUUACAAUAUCGGAAGACGAGAAGUUUUUGAAAGAAGGAAAUAAAGUGCAACGGAUGAGCAAUUAAGUCACAAAAAUUGGAAGGUUUGAGAUGACGUUAAACGUGACCUUGCCGCGAUCUACGAUUUCAUUGUUAAUCCCAUGGACCCGUGCCUAAGUGAAUUCGGAAAUUUUUAGGGCCAUCUUGUAGGAAGACUAGCAGAUACAACUGCACCAGUUCAGGAGAAGGCUCUCGAUGUCUUCAUUUGUUACUUGAAAUAUUGAUGUUGAGGCUGGGAGGUAAUGCUUUAGUUCAUUUAGUUUUAAUUUUAUUUUGCUUCAUUUGAAUAAGUAGUAGAUAUGUGAAAGAAGUAUGUGAUGCAAUAGUGGCAAAAUUCUUGAUCGGGAGGCCAAAGACAGUGGAGAAGGUGUGGAUGGUGUUUUUUUGCUUUGCAUAGAGUUGGAGGCCACUGAGGCAAUUUUGGUAUGCUCUGUCAGUGAUAUUUUAGCAACUAGGUUGUACUCAAUAUUGUCAUGGCCGACUUUUGACUGACGCCAUGACGAUAUUGGCACUUUAUUCCACUUUUCUUCUCAUUGAUUGAACAUUCUGGUUUUCAGUAUUUACUUUGCAACAAGUUAUAAGUGACACAUGACGCUUCUCUAGAUAUUUAGUGUAUGCUUGUGAAGUUAAAUCACGAGUUUUAUGUUUGACAAGCUAAACAAUAUAAGUUGUAUGUUAUGGAAACCUGUAGUGUCGUAUUGAUCUCUAAUUAUUCUGUAGAGUCAUUAACAACUGGUAGAUCACCCAAAUCUCAUCAACUAAUUGGAUAUUGGGGGGCUGAAGGAAAGAGGUAUUUAGAGGCUACCUAUGUAAGAAUUCCUACCAAAUAGAAGCGUACACGGUCAUUUUUCAGUAGUGUAUUUAUUGUUCUUUCUUGCCAAAGAAACUGCACAUAGUGCUUGGACAGCUCAAGGAUGGCUUAUUCGCAUAAAGAAUCACCAGUUCAGGUAUUUUAUUUGAAUAUCUUCUGAAGUUCUCUUCCUAUUUUUUCAUUAUAAAAUUACUGGAGUAUAAACUUGAGUAUAAACUUUUGGCCAGAUAUUCCCUCAUUAUGUAACCCUAUUAGUGUUGUCAUUGUAUGGACUAACUGACCUACUAUUAGCAUCAACCAGUACAUAGGAGAACUGAAAUAGAUGACGAGUAUGAAUGAGUUCUAAUUGUGAUGUUUAUCCGUAAGAGAAAAAGUUCAAAACCACUAGAAGUGAGUUUAGUUUAGAAACAAUCUGAGAGAAAUUGUUACCAGGUAGUGCAAAUUGCAACUAGAUAUUACCUGACUGUAUUCUGCUGAAAUAUUAAAGAGUGAUUGGGAUAAAGUACUCAGUUGAUAAUUACAUGACCAACUAACACUUUGGAUUGGACGAAUCUUACUUCUGGAAGCACAUUUUGAGGGGUCAGAACUCUAUAAAAGAGUUUAAUCCAAAUGUUUAACUUUCAUAGUUUUGCUUCUCAUUUUUUUCAUUUGACGUCCUUAAAAUAAUUUAAUGUGGAAUGAAAUUCGUUGUUGAAGGUGAAGAAUCAAUAAAGUGGCUUCAGUGUAACGAGCUAAAACUUGUUUCUUCAUGGAGUAUUUUCCUAAAUGUUCCCAUUUAUUUUCUCCCAUUUUUUUGCCAGAGAUCUUUGUUUGCUGAUAUUGGUUAGGGAUUUAAUUUCUUUCUAGCCUCCAAGGAAAAUAUCCGCAUUAUAAGAAAACGAAAUAUUUCUAAUUCUUUCCUGGAUUAAAAAUAGUUUCUUUCCUAACUUUUGACCAUUGUGGGUCAUUUCAGAUCAAAUUUCAAAGGGUAUCUACGUGUUUCUAAGAUAUUUAUUGCGAACCCUUACAAGUUUUCACGAAGUUGUGCGAACUAAUUGGUUUUUUUUCCUUCGUUGCAGUUUAUUUAGUUAAUAAUCUUGGAAUUCCAAUAUUUCUUGGAUGGUUAGCUAGAAUUUUGUAUGUAGCUUAGAGAACUUAUUCUCAUUGGGCUACCUUCUUACCUUCUAAAAUUCGUCAGUUAAAUAUAGUACACUUACCAAAAAGUUCUAGGUGGAGAAUGGUGUGGAGUUAUCCUAUUACUCCACCGAGUUUUGAAUCGUGCGCCAUUUGUCCUCAGGAUAUCUCAUUACAGGUACGAAAGCAUGAAUUUCAAAUAAGCUAUUGCAAAGGGGCAGUCGUUCUCAGGUUAAGAAAUUGACCAAACAACUGGGACUGGUGUUUUUGCGCUAUAAGAGAGUUCAUUUAGCUUGACAUCGUGCUCAACCCCCUUCAUCUCUCGGACUCUCCGUCAACAUUGACUAUUACCCGCAAAGGAUGAAACUUAUGACUGUUGGUUGCUAAUAUAACGAACAAGUUAGUAUUUGUCCAACCUACAAAACUUAGUAGAAAUGGAAUACUUACUUUAUUUA